CCGGCUCCCCGGCCCCGCCCCCAGCUUAUCUGCAUGUGCGGAGUUCCAGUUGAGAGAGUUUCCCUGAACCGGAUGAAAACACACCGACUCUGCUUUGUGGCCCAUCUCUAUAUUUUGUUGAAAGCUGAGAGGGACACGAAGCACAGCUUACGUCCGGUUAUGAGCAGUGGGUUCUCUUCCAAAUAAGCUUGAACUUCACACGGACAGAUCACCAACAAAGAGCUUUUGACUGUCGAACAGAUUCUGAAAAAAAAAUGGCCAAAGGUAAAGGUUUUCGAAAAACGAGGAAACACCUGAAAGUGUUCUGUUUCCAAACUCAAAGAUCCAAAGAGGACGAGAUAAUGCAAACUUUUGUCUUCGCUUCACCUGGGACACUGGACAUGUCUGGAUAUGAUUGCGCUGGCCACACAAUACAGGGGAGAGGUCUCACUUCUGGAUUUGGUGUGAAGAGGCUGAUGGCAUCCACGAAUGCUAAAAACCAUCAAGUCUGUGGGGAGGCGACGUGGGCUCAGUCCCGUGUUUGGUGCUUGUUCAUCCUCACAGAGUUUGUUUAGAGACGUUACUUUCAUCUUUGAGUCCUCGAGCUUCCAAGCCCAUAAAAAGAAGGCCAACUAAUUCUUCCUCCGAGGGAUGCCUCGAAUACUGAAGGAGGUGAUACAGGAAGCACUUAGAUCAAGAAGGCCACAUGCAUCUGUCUCCCUUGCUGUCACUAUUAUUAUGUCUACUGCUAAGAGCUAUUCUUACAAUAUAAAAUGCAGAUUCCAACCAUUUAAGUCAGCAGCCUUAAUUACAGCGACACUGUGUGACUGUUAUCAUAAACGCUGCCCUUUGAAUCUGCGUUUUAGUUCUUUGAGUUUCUCUGUGUUGUGGUUCCUACCCUAGUCCUAGUAGAUCCCUCAGAUAAUAGACAUCAUCGGAUUGCCCGUGAUUCUUGAGUUUCAUGUGCCUUAUUGUUUAGUACAUCAUCAAGGUUAAUGACUCACCCCCAACUCCUUGUAUCAUAGUCAGUUUACCUACUACACAGUGAGUUCUCCAUAGCUUUGUUUCCAUUAGCAUCUAGGAAUGUUGGCACACAUUUUAUUCCUACUGUGUGCUUAACAAACGUAGGCACCGUAAGUGUGUGUCAACCUAUGCUCACCUUCAUCUUGACACACGUCAUAGAAGAUGGUGCUAGUCAUAAAAGAAGUUAGUUCUGAAAUAGAGGCUUAACUUGCAAAUCACCAAGGUAAAGAUUUGAUUACAGGGAUCAAAAUAAUAGAAAUCUGACUCGAUAAUAAUUGAGUAACUAUUAAGAAUCCUUCAAAUACCUUGAAAGACUCCUUAAAAUACCAAGGUUUAAAAUAAGAUCUAAAUACAGGCCAAGGAUUUUUCCCAAGGAAAAAAAAAUCCUGCUCACUUAAUUAAGCAACUUUAAAAUAUUGUCAGUACGACUGUUUAAAUACAGUCUCUCAGGGCUCUGAAGGACAAGGGA